UACAUAUAAUAUUUGCAAGAAGAAAGGAUAUUAAAUAGUCGAUUUUAGAUCUAUAAUAUGAAAAUCAAGAAAUGUUAGGCUUUCGUAAUUUUUACACCAAAGGUUGUAGCCUAGCGGUCAACAAAGUAAAUGAAAAACAUGGGAAAAUUAGGAUUGGAGUUCACAUAGACACAAAAAAUGCUAGGUAAUUUCUUCCCAUUUGAUUGAGUCUUGGUGAAGAGAGUUACCUAGUAUGUUGGCGGGAGGUAAUAGGUACACAGUGAAUAGUCCAGGUGUGCGUAAGCUUUAUCCGAACACCAGUGUGAAAAAAAAGAUCAUAAUCUCAUAACAGUUGUUAGAGUAGUCAGUGAAAAGCGCAAAAAAAACCCCAAACCUUGUUGGAGCAUUAAAUGCAAAGCACAAUUAAAGUGUGGGAUUUAGCAAAGAAGAAAAGCAAGGGGAGAAAAAAUAAAAAAUAGAAAAGUAAUGCAAGAAAAACUAUAAAUACAGGCAAUAAUUAUUUGGACAAAAGAAUGGAAAAACUAUAAUUAAGCUAUAAGUAUGAAGUUGUGUCCUUUAAGGCAGAGCCUAUUACUGAAGGUGCACACGCCUUAACCCCUUGACGCCUACACUAAAGCGCCAAUUAAGCAAAGCGAAGCGCACAAGCUGGGCUUCACCGAAUUUCAGGGCUUAAGCGCGCGUUAAGUGAGCCUUUAACAACACUAAUAGGUAUACAGUGUUAUGUUGUAGUUUUAUCUGAUAUCUGGUUAGUCGUGAUAUAUGUGUCUAAGUCUGGUAAAAACUUAUUCAUUUAGAUGUUAGAAAAUAUCUUUCUUGGAAAGAUUGACGACAAGAAGGGGCUCCUUGGAGAAACGAUAAAGGUGUUUUUGUACGACCUAUAGGUCAUGGAUUCAAGUCGAGGAAUCAGCCACUGAUGCUUGUAUCAAGGUAGGCUGGCUACAUUACAUCCCCUUGGGUGCGGUCCUUCCCCGGACGGGGGAUGCUUCAUGCACCCUACUGGGUUUCUCUUUUGACACUAAAUUCGUAGAUCUGAUUGACUAGAUUUGUUGCUAAUUUGAGAAAUGAUUAUUCACGACCAAGGAGGAAUGUUAUAUUUUAUAUAAGCCUAAUAAUGGUAUUCAAGCAUCGAUGAUAAAGUUCGCUAAGACAAUUUGGAGUCUAUUUCUCAAAAGCUUAAGUACCAUUGAUAUAAUGUCACUUCAAGCAUUGACGAUCGAGGCUGCUAAUAUGAAUUAGCAAAUGUUGCCUGUUACCUUAACCUGAUCACUCAUGCUUGAAGCCGUCAAAAUUAUAUGUUUUCUUCACUGUUGAAACUUGAAACCUAAACCCUCUAUGCCACAAGAUGGUUCCUAAAAAACUAUUUCUCCCGAUUCUCCGUGAUUGUCAAAUAUGCAACAGCCAUUUAAUAAUUGGGAGCAAGCAACAACAUCUAAUAAUUCUUCCACUCAUGAUCGAGUAUUCAUGAGUAAAGCUUGGAUUACAAAAAAGUUAAAUGCUUAAAAUGAUCAAGAAGUAACAAAAUUCAUCUGUAUUUUCUCAUGGCUAUAGCCUACAUGUACUGUAUAACAGCUAAUGAAUUAUAAGCUUUCUCAAGUUACACCUUCUUACAGUUAGGUGUGAAGCCAUCAUGGUUUAAUACAUGGAGUACAACCACAGAUGACAUGAACUACCAAGUUCCUGGAGCUCCAACAGCCGGAGAUCUUCGUAAUCACAUGGUUGAGUCACCCCGUAUUGGUCACUCUGUAGUGCCUGAGAUGCUUCUCAAAGUAGUGGAGUCUUAUCAUAGAGAAGGGUGCAUACUUAGUGAUGAGAUGUUUAGACUCUAUGCUGGUCUAAUGGACAAGAGUCCCUCAGUCAGCUUCGUCGUCAGAACUUGAUGAAGUAUCUAUGUUAAAUAGGAUAUCACCAAAGGGAAAGUCAGGGACCGGAACAGGAAAAAAUAAUGCUUUGGAAUGGUUUUCACCUUAUGACUUCUCUCUGGCAGGAAAAUGGUCAGCUUAUUCCUUGGCAUGAAAAACUGGAAGGAGAAGAGGCAAUUUAAAACCGUGUACAUGAGUGGGUGUCCUCUGUAUAACUGACUAUUUAUAUCUGUUUGCGCCAGAACACCAAGAUUGUUGGUCAAUGGUUUGACACGUUUGGCCUAGUUUAGUUUCAAACUUGUAUAUCCUCCAAUCUGUAAGUAGUGAACAUAACAAUAUAUAGCUUUCUAAAUUGUGAUAGACAGACUUGCGUUGAGGAGAUUGGUCUAUUUAUAUCUUUUUACGCCAGCACACCAAGAUCGUUGGUCAAUGGGGUUAACAGGGUUGGCCUAGUUUAGUUUGAACUUAUAUAUCCUCAAAUCUUGAAGUUGAGGAACUUGUCGAAGAAUAAUGCAGUGAACAUCGGAAUAUACAGCUUUGUUAAUUGUGAUAGACAAACUCGCUGUCGAGAGUAGUAUCAAUCGGAAACCUAGAAGCUGCAGCUACUGCUCUCCACGCAACCGGAGAGCUUGUAUUUCUAUGCAAAUGCAUUGCGUGCUGUUGCCCUUUCUUCAGCUGUAUCCACGUCUUUACUUGAGCUGUCCAUAAAGACCGGUCCUUGUGUGGAACACAUCUUCUUUGUGCUGUUGGCAGGCAUCAAGAAGCUUCUUCUCAGGGGAAAUAAAGUUGUGUCCAACAAGUAUCUAAUCAAUCAAUUAUGGCUGUCAGUUGCAUCUCUUUGAUUUGUAGCUCAUUCUACUAGAAACAAGAUUUUCACACAAGGCAAAUGUGUUGGCUGAUGCUGGGCAUGAGAAGAAGAGAGCAAGUGUGUUGGCUGAUGGCACCAUGUAACUCGACUUAUACAUUUCAAAGAAUGUUAAAUUUGAUGUCACUUCUUCUUCAGGUGUCACAAGAUGGCAUUGCUCUUGCAUUCUCUCAGCCAAAAAAAAAAAAAAUUGAUUAAGGUUUCCCUUGCAUUACUUGAACACUUGAUCUAAUAGGAAACUGUAUAAAUACAGGUUGGUUAUCUCAUGGCUUUGGCAUAGACAUUUUGCUAGAUCUUCACCCUUAUUGGCAUAGGGUUAGGACUAGAGGAAGACAUUGCAUGGAAUAUUUUAUGUGUCACAGAGUUAGGACAAGAAAAUACUAUCAUAAGGAAGAUAUUAGAUUUUGUAAAAUUAGGACCAAAUAAUUGCAUAACAUGAGACCUUUAGUCUUGGAAAAUUAGGAGCAAAGGAUGGAAUUAUAGAAGGGAUGUAAGAUAGCACAUUCUCUUAUAGUCUGUGUAGCCUAAGAAAUUAAAGAAUCAUGCAUUCAAAUUACAAUUGCCUUAGAAAAAUGAAUUUAACAAAUAAGUUCAAGUAUCACCUCAUCAUAGGAUUCUUGGGCACGCUCUGGGUGAUUAAAGGUGAAUAUAUCCUAGAAUACAUCCCACCGUGCCGGCAGAAACAAAUCCCAGAAUUAACUUGAAAUUCAGUCACAUGUUUGGAAUUUGUUCCUGCUAUCAAUUCUCCGAAGUGGCUUCUGGCGGAAGGGUCGGGUGUAUUCUAUGAUAUAUUCACUUAUCACCCGAGCAUUCCAAGAGACCUAUUAUGAGGUGUUACCUAAAAAAUUUCAAGUCAAAUUCAUUUUUUCUGAUGCAAUUAUAAUCUGAAUGCAUGAUUCAUUAAUUAUCAGGCUACAAACACUAAAGGGAAUGUACUAUCUUAUAUCCCUUUUGUUCUGAAAAGCUUUGCUCAUAACUCAGCAAGUUCAAAUGUCUCUCCUGUGAUUCUUUUGUGAUAUUAAGCAAACAUACAUGGAAAGAAGGAGGGAUGUAGCACACAACUUUGAUCUCUCCAAAUAUUUGCUGUGAUGAGUGCUUCACUCUUCGGAUUUUUUGUUCAGAAGAGUUGCCAAGAAAAUUUCUUGCAUUAAUCAUAUAGAUGAUAUCCGAGAUGAUCUUAAACUUUAGAUUGUACAAAGGAUGAAUUUGAGCCAGCGGCAUAGUAGAUUUGUACUAAUUUAUUUAGUCAAGUAUUGCUGGUUGCAUUAUCUGUUCUUUAAGGUUUCUUAUUCCUUUCGUACUGUGCUUCUGAUUGGUUUUUUCCUUUUAUUGUACCUACAGGAAAAAUUGACGCUGUCCAACAAGUAUCUAAUCAACAAUGGAACUUAACUGGAGUUGGCACAGUUUCCCCUGCCAUUGACUAUCAAUUGUCAAGUCCCAGUUUAUUAGUGUCUUAUCAAAAGGAACACUUUUCAAAUAAUGUAGUCUGUCCUCAACAGGAUAUUUAACCAAAAGUGGAAGCGCAAAAAUUGGAGCGCACAUUUUCUGCCCCUGCAAGUUUUGGUGAGUUCAACAAUGAAAUGCUUAUGCAUGCUGACUUAAGUGAAGAAGAUGCCAAACUUCUUGGCGAUACUAGCAUCAAAAUCCAAGCGAGACAAACAGUUAAUCACUUAAUCUGCAAAUGAUAGCUCCUAAAGGAACAGUUCAGCAAAUGAAAUCUUCCAAAAAAACAAAACCCGUAUGCAGGAGCCCAUGAAAAGAUUGAUGCUCCAUCAGACAUGCCAUACCAAGUAAUUCACAAUAUUUGAACA